rnacentral:rRNA from 1 species
GAUGAACGCUGGCGGCGUGCCUAGUACAUGCAAGUCGAGCGAACAGACGAGGAGCUUGCUCCUCUGACGUUAGCGGCGGACGGGUGAGUAACACGUGGAUAACCUACCUAUAAGACUGGGAUAACUUCGGGAAACCGGAGCUAAUACCGGAUAAUAUAUUGAACCGCAUGGUUCAAUAGUGAAAGACGGUUUUGCUGUCACUUAUAGAUGGAUCCGCGCCGCAUUAGCUAGUUGGUAAGGUAACGGCUUACCAAGGCGACGAUGCGUAGCCGACCUGAGAGGGUGAUCGGCCACACUGGAACUGAGACACGGUCCAGACUCCUACGGGAGGCAGCAGUAGGGAAUCUUCCGCAAUGGGCGAAAGCCUGACGGAGCAACGCCGCGUGAGUGCUGAAGGUCUUCGGAUCGUAAAACUCUGUUAUUAGGGAAGAACAAAUGUGUAAGUAACUAUGCACGUCUUGACGGUACCUAAUCAGAAAGCCACGGCUAACUACGUG